AGGAAAAAUAAUUGCAAAGAGUAGCAGAGGGGAUAAAAUAAAUAACCGAUUUUUAAUUUUUUAUUAAAAAAAUCUUAAUACGAAUAAUCAGUUCUUCAAUCAAUUCAUAUCCUGAAACUAACUUAAAGUCUUAGUGGGUGCACUUAACUACUAUGAUUCAUCACGCUGGGUUUUCAAAAUUUCAUGAAUAAAUAAUUGAAAACUAAAUUUCUUAAGUCAAGGACACCAACAAUAUCCUUACUCGAUUUUCUUUAAUAAUUGGUUUUAUAAAAAGAACUAAUUAAAUCAUGAAUACUUUUAUUGCAUGAUGCAAAUGCAUACUUAGCAUAUGGUAAGUAAUUUACUUAAAAUAUGCACAUAAUAAUAAUAUGAUAUUAUUAUGAAAUCAUCCUUUAAAAAAAAAAUAAAAAUAAACACAAUGUUAAUUAAAAGCAAAGGCCGAAUCUCAAUUAAAUAAGAAUAGCCCAUUUUAAAAUUAUUAGGUAGCAGCCCAACUAAAAACAAUAGACAUGGCCCAAUUAAAUAAUAAAAACGGGCCCAACACUCAUAAAAAUCGGCCCAAGCCCCGGCCCAACAGACCAGCCCAGCAACUUAAACCCUACCCUUCCUUUCUUCAUCCCUAGCUGCGCUGCGCCCCCAUCCACUCUCUCUCUCUCUCUUCACGCCAGAAAUCCGCCCCCUUCUCCCUCGGAAAUCCGCCGCCGCCGAAGCUUGCCGGAGCAACAGCGACAGCCGCUGACGACGCUCGGCUCUCCCUCCUCAGGUCGACGGCAGCAAGGCCGCCGGCCAUCACCCCUCUUCUCACUCAAACAAAACCCACACACGUUGACGCACCUUGCGCCGCUCACGGCCCCGGCGAGGAGCGCAGCGACGAGCCGCCGUUCCACUACUCCUCAGACUCGACUCUCACACGCAAACAUAUGCAGCAUCCCGACUCGAUGCACCACCAAUUCAAAAGCAGAGACUAAAAUUCAAGACUCUCUAUCUUUCUUCUUUUUCUUCAAUCAUGCUUCAUAUAUAUAUAAACAUGUACACAGAUUGUAUGCAUUUAUGUAAAUAAUUUGUGAAUGUCAUUUUGUUCAAUCACUUAUAUGUAUAAUCUAUAGAUGCUAUGUGGAA